rnacentral:rRNA from 1 species
GAUGAACGCUGGCGGCGUGCCUAAUACAUGCAAGUCGAGCGAACAGACGAGGAGCUUGCUCCUCUGACGUUAGCGGCGGACGGGUGAGUAACACGUGGAUAACCUACCUAUAAGACUGGGAUAACUUCGGGAAACCGGAGCUAAUACCGGAUAAUAUAUUGAACCGCAUGGUUCAAUAGUGAAAGACGGUUUUGCUGUCACUUAUAGAUGGAUCCGCGCCGCAUUAGCUAGUUGGUAAGGUAACGGCUUACCAAGGCGACGAUGCGUAGCCGACCUGAGAGGGUGAUCGGCCAUACUGGAACUGAGACACGGUCCUGACUCCUACGGCAGGCAGCAGUAGGGAAUCUUCAGCAAUGGGCGAAAGCCUGACGGAGCAACGCCGCGUGAGUGAUGAAGGGCUUCUGAUCGUAAAACUCUGUUAUUAGGGAAGAACAAAUGUGUAAGUAACUAUGCACGUCUUGACGGUACCUAAUCAGAAAGCCACGGCUAACUACGUG